rnacentral:rRNA from 1 species
UACGCAGGGAGCGAGCGUUGUCCGGAAUUACUGGGUGUAAAGGGCGCGUAGGCGGGAUGGUAAGUUAGAUGUGAAAUACAUAGGCUCAACCUAUGGGCUGCAUUUAAAACUGCUGUUCUUGAGUGAAGUAGAGGUAAGCGGAAUUCCUGGUGUAGCGGUGAAAUGCGUAGAUAUCAGGAGGAACACCGGUGGCGAAGGCGGCUUACUGGGCUUUUACUGACGCUGAGGCUCGAAAGCGUGGGGAGCAAACAGG